rnacentral:rRNA from 1 species
GAGCCCGCACAAGCAGUGGAGUAUGUGGUUUAAUUCGACGCAACGCGAAGAACCUUACCGGAGCUUGACAUCCGCGGAAGGAGUCCGUAAUGGACUCCGUGCCCUUCGGGGAGCCGCGAGACAGGUGGUGCAUGGUUGUCGUCAGCUCGUGUCGUGAGAUGUUGGGUUAAGUCCCGCAACGAGCGCAACCCUUACGGUCAGUUACUACGAAAGAGGACUCUGGCCGGACUGCCGUUGACAAAACGGAGGAAGGUGGGGACGACGUCAAAUCAUCAUGCCCCUUACGCCCCGGGCGACACACGUACUACAAUGGCGCAAACAAAGGGAAGCCAAGCCGCGAGGCGGAGCAAACCCCAUAAAAGGCGUCCCAGUUCGGACUGCAGGCUGCAACCCGCCUGCACGAAGUUGGAAUUGCUAGUAAUCGCGGAUCAGCAUGCCGCGGUGAAUACGUUCCCGGGCUUU